GAUGGGAAAAGCGCAAAAAGAAUAAAAGCGCAAACCCCGCCACAAGAUGGGAUUUCUUUAAAGGGCCGUGGGAGAUGACCACGUUGAUAGGCCAUAGGUGUAAGGGCAGCAAUGUCGUAGCCGAGUGGUACUAAUUGCCCGUAGACUUGC
rnacentral:rRNA from 1 species